UGGAAACCAUCUUUAUUUAUAAUCCUUUUUAGUGAUCAACCAGUUAACUUACAUAUUGAAGUCUUUUUUUUAUAAGCAAAGAGUAUCUGGAAAUGAGUAUUAUGGGUACUUAAACCCAACAAUAAAGAAAUCCACAAUUACAUGUCUUCUUCAAGUCUUGCACUAUCUAAAGGACUCAAACAUUUGAACUCAAUUCCUUCCAAUAUAGGUCUCACUCCUCCAGGUUCAAUAAAUAUGGAUUCAAGGUGUACUCUUGCAACUUCCUUCACCCUGCCAAGAGAUGAUGCUAGGGUAACUAUAUUAUACCUCAUCCUCCUUGCUUUCAUCCUCCCAUGGAAGAAUCUAGUGUUAAGAUCUCCUUCUUUGAUCCAUUUCUGCCUAGACUUUUGUUUUAGAAAACUUUCUUUAAGAAACAAAUUCCUCCAAACUAACUAUUGAGCAUCCUUUCUUUCUUCUAAUAAUAUGUAACUUGAAUCAAUGAUGAGAUGAUUAUCUAACAUAUUCAAAUCAGCAACAACUUUAUCUAUAUUCUAGUCAAGAAUUCCAAAAAUCUCCUUAUUCCACAUCCUCAGACUCUCCUUAGCACCAUGAAUGUCCG
rnacentral:lncRNA from 1 species